CGCCUGCUGGCCGGGGCUCUGGGCCCACCCCUUGCCAGGGCGGCGGGCUUGUCGGGACACGUUAGGACUUUGUGCCCCUUCGGAAGACUGUUGCCCGGGGAUGCCCAGCUGCAGAGCUGGCAAGUGGCCGAAGCCGGCUUGGGGCCUUGGGGCAGCCUUGUAACUGGAAGGGCGGAUGUGGCAGGUGCCUUCGCUGCCCACUCCGAGCCUGUCCUCUCACGGACGAUGCUGCUGCUGCUGCUGCCGCCGCCACCGCUGGGCUUCCCUCUCCUGUUUCCAUCGCUCUUUGCCCAGACACAUUUUUAACUGGAAAUUGUCACAGCAGUGGGAUCCCGGAGUCCCAGACGGCACUGCCGUCCCCGACAUUAAUGUGAAUUUGACUGUGAAUGAGGAGCGUUUCUAAUAAAGUUUGUCGUUCAGUCCUUCA